UACAGAGGGUGCUAGCGUUGUUCGGAAUCAUUGGGCGUAAAGGGCGUGUAGGCGGUUUGUUAAGUCAUGUGUGAAAUCCCUCGGCUCAACCGGGGAACGACGCAUGAAACUGGCAAGCUAGAGUACCAAAGAGGGGGGUGGAAUUCCCGGUGUAGCGGUGAAAUGCGUAGAUAUUGGGAGGAACACCAGUGGCGAAGGCGGCUCGCUGGACCGGUUCUGACGCUGAGGCGCGAAAGCGUGGGGAGCAAACGGG
rnacentral:rRNA from 1 species